GAUGAACGCUGGCGGCGUGCCUAAUACAUGCAAGUCGAGCGAACGGACGAGAAUCUUGCUUCUCUGAUGUUAGCGGCGGACGGGUGAGUAACACGUGGAUAACCUACCUAUAAGACUGGGAUAACUUCGGGAAACCGGAUCUAAUACCGGAGAAUAUUUUGAACCGCAUGGUUCAAAAGUGAAAGACGGUCUUUCGGUCACUUAUAGAUGGAUCCGCGCUGCAUUAGCUAGUUGGUAAGGUAACGGCUUACCAAGGCAACGAUGCAUAGCCGACCUGAGAGGGUGGUAGGCGACACUGGAAGGGAGACACGGUCCAGACGCCUACGGGAGGGAGCAGUAGCGAAUCUUCCGCAAUGGGCGAGAGCCUGACGGAGCAGCGCGGCGUGAGUGAUGACGAUCUUCGGAUCGUAAAACUCUGUUAUUAGGGAAGAACAUAUGUGUAAGUAACUGUGCACAUCGUGACGGUACCUAAUCAGAAAGCCACGGCUAACUACGUG
rnacentral:rRNA from 1 species